rnacentral:rRNA from 1 species
UACGUGGGGAGCAAGCGUUGUUCGGAUUUACUGGGCGUAAAGGGCGCGUAGGCGGCGUAACAAGUCACUUGUGAAAUCUCCGGGCUUAACCCGGAGCGGCCAAGUGAUACUGUUGUGCUAGAGUGCAGAAGGGGCAACUGGAAUUCUCGGUGUAGCGGUGAAAUGCGUAGAUAUCGAGAGGAACACCUGCGGCGAAGGCGAGUUGCUGGGCUGACACUGACGCUGAGGCACGAAAGCCAGGGGAGCGAACGGG